rnacentral:rRNA from 1 species
UAGAACUCGGGUGAAGGAACUAGGCAAAAUGGCACCGUAACUUCGGGAGAAGGUGCGCCCUUUGGUGUGGUCACGUGCGUGACUGAGCAUUGAAGGGUCGCAGUAACCUGGCCGCUGCGACUGUUUAUCAAAAACACAGCACUCUGCAAACACGAAAGUGGACGUAUAGUGUGUGACGCCUGCCCGGUGCUGGAAGGUUAAUUGAUGGGGUCAGCCGCAAGGCGAAGCUCUUGAUCGAAGCCCCAGUAAACGGCGGCCGUAACGAUAACGGUCCUAAGGUAGCGAAAUUCCUUGUCGGGUAAGUUCCGACCUGCACGAAUGGCGUAACGACAGCGGCGCUGUCUCCACCCGAGACUCAGUGAAAUUGAAAUCGCUGUGAAGAUGCAGCGUUCCCGCGGCAAGACGGAAAGACCCCGUGAACCUUUACUAUAGCUUUACACUGAACGUUGAGUUCUUCUGUGUAGGAUAGGUGGGAGGCUAUGAAACCAGGACGCUAGUUCUGGUGGAGCCAUCCUUGAAAUACCACCCUGAAGUGCUUGACGUUCUAACCUAGGCCCGUAAUCCGGGUCAGGGACCGUGUAUGGUGGGUAGUUUGACUGGGGCGGUCUCCUCCCAAAGAGUAACGGAGGAGCACGAAGGUACGCUCAGCGCGGUCGGACAUCGCGCACUGUGUGCAAAGGCAUAAGCGUGCUUGACUGCGAGAUCGACGGAUCAAGCAGGUACGAAAGUAGGUCUUAGUGAUCCGGUGGUUCUGUAUGGAAGGGCCAUCGCUCAACGGAUAAAAGGUACUCCGGGGAUAACAGGCUGAUACCGCCCAAGAGUUCAUAUCGACGGCGGUGUUUGGCACCUCGAUGUCGGCUCAUCACAUCCUGGGGCUGUAGCCGGUCCCAAGGGUAUGGCUGUUCGCCAUUUAAAGUGGUACGCGAGCUGGGUUCAGAACGUCGUGAGACAGUUCGGUCCCUAUCUGUCGUGGGCGUUGGAGAUUUGAGGGGGGCUGCUCCUAGUACGAGAGGACCGGAGUGGACGUUCCGCUGGUGUUCGGGUUGUCAUGCCCAUGGCAUUGCCCGGUAGCUACGAACGGAAGUGAUAACCGCUGAAAGCAUCUAAGCGGGAAGCACGCCCCAAGAUGAGAUCUCCCGAGAGCUUGACUCUCCUAAAGGCACCAUCAAGACUAGGUGGUUGAUAGGUCAGGUGUGGAAGCGCAGCAAUGCGUUGAGCUAACUGAUACUAAUGAGCCGUGAGGCUUGACCU